ACUAAAGGGUGCGGCUUAAGCCGCACCCUUUAUAUAUGUUUCUAAACAAAUAUCAGG
rnacentral:sRNA from 1 species